rnacentral:rRNA from 1 species
UUCUUCGGAUUGUAAACUCCUGUUGCCCGGGACGAAUGGCUCCGACCUAACACGUCGGAGUGUGACGGUACCGGGUGAGGAAGCCCCGGCUAACUCUGUGCCAGCAGCCGCGGUAAUACAGAGGGGGCAAGCGUUGUUCGGAAUUACUGGGCGUAAAGGGCGCGUAGGCGGCCUGCUAAGUCGAACGUGAAAUCCCUGGGCUCAACCCAGGAACUGCGUCCGAUACUGGUUGGCUUGAAUUCGGGAGAGGGAUGCGGAAUUCCAGGUGUAGCGGUGAAAUGCGUAGAUAUCUGGAGGAACACCGGUGGCGAAGGCGGCAUCCUGGACCGAUAUUGACGCUGAUGCGCGAAAGCCAGGGGAGCAAACGGGAUUAGAUACCCCGGUAGUCCUGGCCCUAAACGAUGAAUGCUUGGUGUCCGGGGUUACAUAGUCCCCGGGUGCCGGCGCUAACGCAUUAAGUAUCCCGCCUGGGGAGUACGGUCGCAAGACUGAAACUCAAAGGAAUUGACGGGGACCCGCACAAGCGGUGGAGCAUGUGGUUUAAUUCGACGCAACGCGAAGAACCUUACCUGGGCUAGAAUGCCUCUGACAACCCUGGAGACAGGGCCUUCUGGGUAAAACCAGACAGAGUGCAAGGUGCUGCAUGGCUGUC